UACGGCCACGUCGCGUUGAAAAACCGGUUCCCGUACGAUCACCGAAGUUAAGCAAAGUCAAGCCUGGUCAAUACCUAGAUGGGUGGCCGUUUGGGAAUACCACGUGCUGUAA
rnacentral:rRNA from 1 species